rnacentral:tRNA from 1 species
GCCUGGGUGGCUCAGUCGGUUGGGCGGCCGACUUCGGCUCAGGUCAUGAUCUCACGGUCCGUGAGUUCGAGCCCCGCCUCGGGCU